UCAACCCAUUUAACCAUCUAACCCAUCAAAUUAAAUGAGUUCAUGGGUUGACUCAACUCAUUUAUUAAAUGAGUUGAGUCAACCCAUGAACUCAUUUAACUCUAAACUCAUUGGGUAAUGAGU
rnacentral:pre_miRNA from 1 species